GAAACUGAUGCGUGGCAGGACCUGCUCGACUGCAUUGCUUUGCACGAGCCGGAUCUGGAGAUAGGAGAGGACCGCACCAGGUGGCGGCUAGAGCCAUUUGGACAAUUCUCCUCUAAAUCUCUCUACCAGGCGAUUGUUCCUUCGUCGGGCCACGAAGCUCUCACCACCAUCUGGGCGAUCCGGCUCCCCUUGAAGAUUAGGAUCUUCUUGUGGCAAUGGAUUCGCGGCCGCCUACCUUCUGGCGUUGAGGUCCUGAAGCGCAACGGCCCUAGGGAUGGGCGGUGCCCGCUCUGCGGGCCUGAAGAGGACACGAACCAUAUCUUCUUCACCUGCGUGUCCGCGCAGUUCCUCUGGAGCUGUUUCCGCGAAUUAGUGGGUGGAAGCUGGGACCACAACAACUUCCUCGCUCUCUUUGCCGAACUUCAGGCAUUACCACCCGCAUCUCGCCACAUUAGGUGGCUGACCAUCGGUGUGCUUGCCUGGACGCUGUGGACCAUUAGGAAUAAGCUUGUGAUUCAGCAUGUCCCUCUUCGUCGCGCUACUGACGCUUUGUUCAAAUGGUCUGGUUUCUUGCAGCUUUGGCGGCCGCUUAGCCGCUCCAGGGAGAGAGAUGCCAUCACCUCCAUCAUCACCCAGCUUCGCGCGAUGGCUCUCCGGAUGGCUCCUCCGCUUCCCCCACCACCUCCAGAGCCGGAUUAG
rnacentral:rRNA from 1 species